rnacentral:rRNA from 1 species
CACGUAUGUAACCUGCCCUAUGCAGGGGGAUAACCCGGAGAAAUCCGGCCUAAUACCGCGUAACACCUUUUGGGAGCAUUCCCGGGAGGUUAAAGGAGAGAUCCGGCAUAGGAUGGACAUGCGUCGCAUUAGGUAGACGGCGGGGUAACGGCCCACCGUGCCGACGAUGCGUAGGGGUUCUGAGAGGAAGGCCCCCCACACUGGUACUGAGACACGGACCAGACUCCUACGGGAGGCAGCAGUGAGGAAUAUUGGUCAAUGGCCGAGAGGCUGAACCAGCCAAGUCGCGUGAGGGAAGAAUGUCCUAAGGAUUGUAAACCUCUUUUGUCGGGGAGCAAAAAGGCUCUGCGGAGUCGUAUUGAGAGUACCCGAAGAAAAAGCAUCGGCUAACUCCGUGCCAGCAGCCGCGGUAAUACGGAGGAUGCGAGCGUUAUCCGGAUUUAUUGGGUUUAAAGGGUGCGCAGGCGGCGUGUCAAGCAAGCGGUAAAAUAGCGGGGCUCAACCCCGUCGAGCCGUUUGAACUGGCGCGCUUGAGUUCAGGCGAGGUAGGCGGAAUUCGUGGUGUAGCGGUGAAAUGCAUAGAUAUCACGAAGAACUCCGAUUGCGAAGGCAGCUUACCAGUCUGCGACUGACGCUCAGGCACGAAAGUGUGGGUAUCGAACAGGAUUAGAUACCCUGGUAGUCCACACAGUAAACGAUGAGCGCUAGGUGUCCGGGUCGCAUGAGACUUGGGUGCCCGAGCGAAAGCGUUAAGCGCUCCACCUGGGGAGUACGCCGGCAACGGUGAAACUCAAAGGAAUUGACGGGGGCCCGCACAAGCGGAGGAACAUGUGGUUUAAUUCGAUGAUACGCGAGGAACCUUACCCGGGCUCAAACGACUCAGGAAUAUAUUGGAAACGAUGUAGCCAGCAAUGGUCUGAGUCGAGGUGCUGCAUGGUUGUCGUCAGCUCGUGCCGUGAGGUGUCGGCUUAAGUGCCAUAACGAGCGCAACCCCUACCGCCAGUUGCCAACGGGUAAAGCCGGGAACUCUGGCGGGACUGCCGGCGCAAGCUGCGAGGAAGGCGGGGAUGACGUCAAAUCAGCACGGCCCUUACGUCCGGGGCGACACACGUGUUACAAUGGCAGGUACAGCGGGAAGCCACCUGGUGACAGGGAGCGGAACCCGAAAGCCUGUCUCAGUUCGGAUUGGAGUCUGCAACUCGACUCCAUGAAGCUGGAUUCGCUAGUAAUCGCGCAUCAGCCAUGGCGCGGUGAAUACGUUCCCGGG